AACCUCUGAAAAGUUCUCAUUAGGCCUUUCGCUAACGACCCACGAAACCGUCGAGAAAGGGCCAGGCAAAAAAAGCUCCACUUCUGGGUGAAGUGGCAACAUGUUGUGUUGUUUCGCUUCAACUGGUGGUGUGACAAGG